CUGCAGUGAUGAGUCUUGGUGACUGACCUGGUAUUGCUCUUCCUCCGGGCAGAGCUCUGACCAGGGAAUGAUCUGAACUUUAAUCUUCUCUCUGAGCAG
ensembl:snoRNA